rnacentral:rRNA from 1 species
CCUGAGAAACCCAAAAGAUCGAAUGGGGAGAUUCAUCGUCAGCUCAUUUUGUAUAUGUAUAAGUUAUGAUGCGGGUUACUACUUGUAGUAUUGCCUGCACAUUCUUGUAUAUUUAGUUGCAAGGUGUUGUCGGCGUGCACUUCUCCCCUAGUAGGACGUCGCGACCUGUUGGGUGUCGGUCUACGGCCCAAGUGAUAGACUUUAAUGUAAUUUAAAAAACAUUGAAGAUCCUUGGUGUUUUCUGACCGGCUACUUGGCAGUAUUCGUACGGUAUUUAGCCGCUAAAUUUAUUAAGCGUCCAUAUCUAUCACAAGCGAGGCUAAUUUACUGAUAGUACGGACGUAGUGCCGUCGUUGGUAUUGGCCAGCUGUUGGUUGAUGGUAUUCUAGGACUGGCUAAAAUUAAUUACCGGUCGGCGAUGCUACUGCUUUGGGUACUUUCAG